rnacentral:rRNA from 1 species
ACCCGCUGAACUUAAGCAUAUCAAUAAGCGGAGGAAAAGAAACCAACAGGGAUUGCCCUAGUAACGGCGUGUGAAGCGGCAACAGCUCAAAUUUGAAAUCUGGCUCUUUUAGAGUCCGAGUUGUAAUUUGCAGAGGGCGCUUUGGCUUUGGCAGCGGUCCAAGUUCCUUGGAACAGGACGUCACAGAGGGUGAGAAUCCCGUACGUGGUCGCUGGCUAUUGCCGUGUAAAGCCCCUUCGACGAGUCGAGUUGUUUGGGAAUGCAGCUCUAAAUGGGAGGUACAUUUCUUCUAAAGCUAAAUAUUGGCCAGAGACCGAUAGCGCACAAGUAGAGUGAUCGAAAGAUGAAAAGCACUUUGGAAAGAGAGUCAAACAGCACGUGAAAUUGUUGAAAGGGAAGCGCUUGCAGCCAGACUUGCUUACAGUUGCUCAUCCGGGCUUUUGCCCGGUGCACUCUUCUGUAGGCAGGCCAGCAUCAGUUUGGGCGGUAGGAUAAAGGUCUCUAUCACGUACCUCUCUUCGGGGAGGCCUUAUAGGGGAGACGACAUACUACCAGCCUGGACUGAGGUCCGCGCAUCUGCUAGGAUGCUGGCGUAAUGGCUGU